rnacentral:rRNA from 1 species
CCUACGGGAGGCAGCAGUGGGGAAUUUUGGACAAUGGGCGCAAGCCUGAUCCAGCAAUGCCGCGUGAGUGAAGAAGGCCUUCGGGUUGUAAAGCUCUUUUGUCAGGGAAGAAACGGUCUACUCUAAUACAGUGGGCUAAUGACGGUACCUGAAGAAUAAGCACCGGCUAACUACGUGCCAGCAGCCGCGGUAAUACGUAGGGUGCAAGCGUUAAUCGGAAUUACUGGGCGUAAAGCGUGCGCAGGCGGUUAUAUAAGUCAGAUGUGAAAUCCCCGGGCUCAACCUGGGAACUGCAUUUGAGACUGUAUGGCUAGAGUGUGUCAGAGGGGGGUAGAAUUCCACGUGUAGCAGUGAAAUGCGUAGAUAUGUGGAGGAAUACCGAUGGCGAAGGCAGCCCCCUGGGAUAACACUGACGCUCAUGCACGAAAGCGUGGGGAGCAAACAGGAUUAGAUACCCUGGUAGUCCACGCCCUAAACGAUGUCUACUAGUUGUCGGGACUUAAUUGUNUUGUACGCAGCUACGCGUGAGUAGACGCCGUCGGGNGGUACGGUCGCGAGAGUAAACGUAACGAAAGUAAGUAGUAGACGUGAGAGACGACGACGACGACGACGGAGGAGGGAGGAG